rnacentral:rRNA from 1 species
AUGGUUUUCGAAGACGAAAGCAGUGAGGAGACGUCCAGCCUGCCGUACAUGCGCUCGACCUCAUCCACGGACGGGCUUAACCAGGUCCCUUUCAGCGUUGAAGAUCCAGAUUACCAGGGGCUUGAGCUGGAAACUAUGUCGCCAUGUGAGACGCACGGGAAGGCAUCUGAGAGGCUUGUCGCAUUUGAAGGAACAGACACAGGGAGAAGGUUCUUAGCAUGUGCAGAGCCGUGGCAUUGUUCUUGGUAUCAUGUGAAAUAUUCAGUUUGGGACUUCUACAGGUUUUAUGUUGCUGUUGUGGCAUUUUUAUGUAGUUAA